rnacentral:rRNA from 1 species
ACGAACGCUGGCGGCAUGCCUAACACAUGCAAGUCGAACGGAUGUAGCAAUACAUCAGUGGCGGACGGGUGAGUAACGCGUGGGAACCUACCUGGAAGUGAGGAAUAACCGAGGGAAACUUCGGCUAAUACCGCAUAUGCCCUGCGGGGCAAAGGCUUCGGCCGCUACCAGAGGGGCCCGCGUCCGAUUAGCUAGUUGGUGGGGUAACGGCCUACCAAGGCAGUGAUCGGUAGCUGGUCUGAGAGGACGAUCAGCCACACUGGGACUGAGACACGGCCCAGACUCCUACGGGAGGCAGCAGUGGGGAAUAUUGGACAAUGGGGGAAACCCUGAUCCAGCGAUGCCGCGUGAGUGAUGAAGGCCUUAGGGUUGUAAAGCUCUUUCGCCCACGACGAUGAUGACGGUAGUGGGAGAAGAAGCCCCGGCUAACUUCGUGCCAGCCGCCGCGGUAAU